rnacentral:rRNA from 1 species
UACGGAGGGAGCUAGCGUUGUUCGGAAUUACUGGGCGUAAAGCGCGCGUAGGCGGUUUUUUAAGUCAGAGGUGAAAGCCCAGUGCUCAACACUGGAACUGCCUUUGAAACUGGAAAACCUGAAUCUUGGAGAGGUCAGUGGAAUUCCGAGUGUAGAGGUGAAAUUCGUAGAUAUUCGGAAGAACACCAGUGGCGAAGGCGACUGACUGGACAAGUAUUGACGCUGAGGUGCGAAAGCGUGGGGAGCAAACAGG